rnacentral:rRNA from 1 species
AGCUCCAAUAGCGUAUAUUAAAGUUGUUGCAGUUAAAAAGCUCGGAGUUGGAUUUCUGGCAGGAGCGACCGGUCACGCGCUUUGCGCGUGAACUUGCGUUGUCUCUGGCCAUCCUUGGAGAGAUCCUAUUUGGCAUUAAGUUGUCGGGUAGGGGGUACCCAUCGUUUACUGUGAAAAAAAUUAGAGUGUUUAAAGCAGGCUUAUGCCAUUGAAUAUAUUAGCAUGGAAUAAUAAGAUAGGACUUUGGAACUAUUUUGUUGGUUUGCGUUGCGAAGUAAUGAUUAAUAGUGACAGUAGGGGUUAUUCGUAUUCCGUUGUCAGAGGUGAAAUUCUUGGAUUUCCGGAAGACGAACUACUGCGAAAGCAUUUACCAAGGAUGUUUUCA